rnacentral:rRNA from 1 species
AGAGUUUGAUCAUGGCUCAGAUUGAACGCUGGCGGCAGGCUUAACACAUGCAAGUCGAACGGUAACAGGGAGAAGCUUGCUUCUUUGCUGACGAGUGGCGGACGGGUGAGUAAUGCUUGGGAAUCUGGCUUAUGGAGGGGGAUAACUACGGGAAACUGUAGCUAAUACCGCGUAAUAUCUUCGGAUUAAAGGGUGGGACUUUCGGGCCACCUGCCAUAAGAUGAGCCCAAGUGGGAUUAGGUAGUUGGUGGGGUAAAGGCCUACCAAGCCGACGAUCUCUAGCUGGUCUGAGAGGAUGACCAGCCACACUGGAACUGAGACACGGUCCAGACUCCUACGGGAGGCAGCAGUGGGGAAUAUUGCACAAUGGGGGGAACCCUGAUGCAGCCAUGCCGCGUGAAUGAAGAAGGCCUUCGGGUUGUAAAGUUCUUUCGGUGAUGAGGAAGGUGUUUGUUUUAAUAGAACAAGCAAUUGACGUUAGUCACAGAAGAAGCACCGGCUAACUCCGUGCCAGCAGCCGCGGUAAUACGGAGGGUGCGAGCGUUAAUCGGAAUGACUGGGCGUAAAGGGCACGCAGGCGGUGACUUAAGUGAGAUGUGAAAGCCCCGAGCUUAACUUGGGAAUUGCAUUUCAUACUGGGUCGCUAGAGUACUUUAGGGAGGGGUAGAAUUCCACGUGUAGCGGUGAAAUGCGUAGAGAUGUGGAGGAAUACCGAAGGCGAAGGCAGCCCCUUGGGAAUGUACUGACGCUCAUGUGCGAAAGCGUGGGGAGCAAACAGGAUUAGAUACCCUGGUAGUCCACGCUGUAAACGCUGUCGAUUUGGGGAUUGGGCUUAGAGCUUGGUGCCCGUAGCUAACGUGAU